UACGAAGGGGGCUAGCGUUGUUCGGAUUUACUGGGCGUAAAGCGCACGUAGGCGGAUCGUUAAGUCGGGGGUGAAAUCCUGGAGCUCAACUCCAGAACUGCCUUCGAUACUGGCGAUCUUGAGUCCGGAAGAGGUGAGUGGAACUCCUAGUGUAGAGGUGGAAUUCGUAGAAAUUCGCAAGAACACCAGUGGCGAAGGCGGCUCACUGGCCCGGUACUGACGCUGAGGUGCGAAAGCGUGGGGAGCAAACAGG
rnacentral:rRNA from 1 species